rnacentral:rRNA from 1 species
CAAGGAAUUUUCCCCAAUGGGCGCAAGCCUGAUCCGGCCAUGCCGCGUGAGUGAAGAAGGUCUUCGGAUUGUAAAGCUCUUUUACCAGGGACGAUAAUGACGGUACCUGGAGAAUAAGCCCCGGCAAACUUCGUGCCAGCAGCCGCGGUAAUACGAAGGGGGCUAGCGUUGUUCGGAAUUACUGGGCGUAAAGCGCACGUAGGCGGGUCGUUAAGGCAGGGGUGAAAUCCCGGAGCUCAACUCCGGACC